GUGCUUAUACCAAAGAAGAUUUGUCCUUUCUUUGAAAUUGUACCUUAAUGAUUCAUUGCAAGAAAAGGAAACAAAUACAUUUCCUUGUUUUUGUUUCUUUGUUGUGGAUGGCUAUUCUAUUUUAACAGUUCUUUGUUUGUUUUAGGUUGUUGCAGCUUCAUCUUCCCAUGAAUCAAUACAUUUUUUCUUUUUCUUUUUGGUGGGCAACAACAUGGAUGGGGAAUAGAUAAGAAACUUGGUUAUUGCACUCAGCUGACAGGCGAGCCCAAUUUGAGCAGCUGGAGUACACAGAAGAUGAUUAUCAGAAGGAGCUUGAGCAUAUUGAGCAGGUCAAAUCACUCAUUUAGUCUUGGUUGGAGUUUACAGCAGUAGAUUGGCAUGUGCCAUGCAUGCGGAGAGGGAGAGUCCCAUGUGCUUCAAUAAUGCAUAGUUUUGGCAAUUCCAAAACUAAUUGCAUGCAAAUUUUUGCCCGACAACUCUCACUACAUAUAUUGAGCUGGUCGACCACACAACGCACUUUUACAUGGCAUAUUUACAUGUCAGCCUUUUAAUUGUUUUCUGGCACUGAAUUUGUCAUUGUUUGCCUUGUUAAAUAGGUUCUCUCCAUUGGUUGGGAAUGUAAGAAGUAUGGAAGAGCAAUGCACAUUGGAACAAAUCACAGAAGCCUUUCUGACCGUAUCAUGAGCUACUAUGGUGAUUCUCCAAGGGGAAUGGUUGAAUCUGCUUUUGAAUUUGCCAGGAUUUGCCGGAAGUUGGACUUCCAUAAUUUUGUCUUCUCAAUGAAAGCAAGCAACCCAAUGAUCAUGGUUCAAGCAUACCGUUUACUUGUUGCCGGAAGGGUGGGAUUAUCCCUUGCACUAGGGAGUUACGGAAGCUGGUGAAGGUGAAGAUGGACGGAUGAGGUCUGCAGUUGGCAUCGGAACCCUUCAAGUAUUUGUUCUAUAUUUUUUAUUUUUA